GAUCAUGGCUCAGGAUGAACGCUAGCUACAGGCUUAACACAUGCAAGUCGCGGGGUAACAUCUGGUAGAGCUUGCUCUUCCAGGAUGACGACCGGCGCACGGGUGAGUAACGCGUAUCCAACCUGGCCCAUACCACGGGAUAGCCCGUCGAAAGGCGGAUUAAUACCGUAUGCUGUCAUUAAGAUGCAUAUAUUGAUGACGAAAGGACUGGCGGUAUGGGAUGGGGAUGCGUCUGAUUAGCUUGUUGGCGGGGUAACGGCCCACCAAGGCGACGAUCAGUAGGGGUUCUGAGAGGAAGGUCCCCCACAUUGGAACUGAGACACGGUCCAAACUCCUACGGGAGGCAGCAGUGGGGAAUAUUGCACAAUGGGGGAAACCCUGAUGCAGCGACGCCGCGUGAGCGAAGAAGUAUUUCGGUAUGUAAAGCUCUAUCAGCAGGGAAGAAGAAAUGACGGUACCUGACUAAGAAGCACCGGCUAAAUACGUG
rnacentral:rRNA from 1 species